rnacentral:rRNA from 1 species
GACGAACGCUGGCGGCGUGCUUAACACAUGCAAGUCGAGCGGUAAGGCCCUUUCGGGGGUACACGGGCGGCGAACAGGUGAGUAACACGUGGGUGACCUGCCCUUAGCUCUGGGAUAAGCCUGGGAAACUGGGUCUAAUACCGGAUUUGACUCCAUGACGCAUGUUGUGGGGUGGAAAGCCUUGUGCGGCUAGGGAUGGGCCCGCGGCCUAUCAGCUUGUUGGUGGGGUGAUGGCCACCAAGGCGACGACGGGUAGCCGGCCUGAGAGGGCGACCGGCCACACUGGGACUGAGACACGGCCCAGACUCCUACGGGAGGCAGCAGUGGGGAAUCUUGCGCAAUGGGCGAAAGCCUGACGCAGCGACGCCGCGUGGGGAUGACGGCCU